rnacentral:lncRNA from 1 species
AAGUAAUCCCUGCUGCCCUUUCGCUGGCCCAGGAAGGGGUAAAUCACAGAUCAGUGUCAGAGGUGCGAUGAAAACCCAGGAGUUCUGAUUCCUGGGUCACCAUGCUCCCUUUGCCAAGGGUGGAGCCGACACCAACAGACUCUUAGCUCCUGUGCCCUGUGCAUCCUGGUGUUCGUGCACGUGCUGCACGGAAGAGCUGCAUCCUGGGACAAUUUUAUGGCUGAUGAGAACAUAUCCUGAUCCACUCCACAUUUCAGUGUAACCUUGCAGUAUACCUGUAACACUGGAGGCACACAUCUCUUCCCUAGCAGCCCUUAAGAACCUGAAUGGUAGAGAGAGGGAGGAUCACAAAAGUUUGCUUCCAGCUCUAUACUCACCCACAGCCUGCAGACAGAUCAUCAGAAAAUUCAACUUUCAAGUGAGGAUCAUAAGCCAGAGAGUGCAGGACUCCACACCAGGGCAGAUGACCUGUGGAUUCCAGAAGCUCUCAGGAAUUUUGCAGAUUUCUCAAGGGCAACCCUGUCCAUAGAACGGGGAAAAGAACAAGCCCAUGCCUCCAAAGAGAAACUUCACAGUUCGCCUAAGUUUAACCUCUAGUGAUUCAUUCUCUUGUGUGUGGGGGCCUUCUGAUCUCUGGGAGCUCCCUCAAAGGCAAACUCCCAUGCAGAGGGCAUUUCUGAGGACUGAAAUCCAGGUGAUAAUAGUAACUACUGCUUUUUUAGCAUUUAGUGCUAACUUUGGCAUUUGGGCAACCAUCAAACACUCUCUUCCAUCAUCUCGCCCCUCCACCCACAGCCCUGUGUUAUCAAUCCCCUUUCCCAGCCAACCUGGGGACAAGUUGACUUGUCAUCACCAUCUGUACCUCCCCACUUUACACUCUCUCCACAGUCCACUCCACUAGGGCAUUGGCUGCACAUGUCACCAAAACCACUCUUGUCAGUGUCACCAAAAACUCCCAUGUUGCAAGAUACAAAGGCCAUUUUUCGGUCUCUUGUACUGAGCCUCUCCUAGAAGCAUAAGGUCCCUGGGCUUCCUUGGCACCUCCUCCGCCAGCAUCUUCUCCUCUUUUUGGCUGCUCCUGCCAUAGUUCACCCACUGCCCUCUCCUUCUACCACUCUGUCGAGUACUGGUGCACCCCAGGGCUCAGUCCUAAGCCCCAUUCUUCCCUCUAUCCAUGUGUGCUCCUGCAGUCCCAUGGUUUACACACCAUGCAUUUACCAAUGCCUUUAUAUAGUUCUCCCACCCAAACCUCUCCCUGAGCUCCAGCCAGAAUCACAUAUACAACUGCCUACCUGACCUCCCCACUCAGAUAUAUUACAGAUCACUCGGCUAGUAGCUGGCUAAGGCAGGACAUAAACUCAACUUCAGGUAGAUCUGAUCUCAAGGCCUGCAUUCUUAAUGACUCCUGGACUAGAAUCCAAGGAGACAGCUAUAAACUCUCUGAGAGAAGAGGCAUCUCCACUCCAAAGAUCUACCCAAUGGCCUAGGACAGACUUAUUCCAUCACUUCUCAUGCUGUGAGAAAUCUGUCAUUGUGGGAUUUCCCCACUUAAGUAUAACUAGGUGGUUACCUUUCCUGCAAUUUUCAAACAGGGCAGAUAUGUUAGGGGUAACAUGGACCCACAAACACCUGGUAUGUCUGUGUCUUCCCAGAGUGUAAACUCUGCUCAAACAUGGACACAGAAAGGCAGACAGCAGGAGAAAUCAUUUUCCUACAAAGAGAAAACAGAUGUGUCUUGGAAGAGAAAAUGAGAUACAACUUUUUGUAAUUUAAAAAACAAGACUUCAAACUUCAGGUGGACACCUUAGCCUUCUGCCACAGAUUCAAAGGAUAUAAAGUAGAACUACAAAGAGCUUAAGUCCUGACUCCUAGAAGCUUGUUUCUAAUAUCUGCCUCCAUUAGCCUUCGUCUUAAACCAGGAAGGUGGUAUGAACACUCAACAAACCGUCAGUGUACUUUGGAAGAGGUGGGAUAAAAGUGGACAUUUUUGCCUUGCCUCUGAUGUCUUUAGCGAAGCCAAAUAAAUCUGGAAAGAAAAAUUAAAUAUUUCCCUGAAACCUCACAGGAGAAAAAAAGAGAAAGGCUUUCAGAAGUCCCCAGAGAAACAAGAAAUGACUAUUUCCAAAACAAAGUUUGAUUUGAAAUUAUAAGAAGCUAGAGGUAGUUUUGAAAACCAGUGAACACUCAUGAACUUAAUCAGGCUUAGCAAAGCAGAGACAGAAAUGCAGAUUGGAAGUUGCCCCUGGAUAGCUUGGCCAGCAGAAUAAAACCCAGAGGCAGAAUCAAUUUUUUUUCUUUCAGAUUAAAGCCGCAGCAUCUCUCAGUUGAAGGCAGAGGUAUAAAGUCAAAGACUCCAGAAGUUCUUGGAAAAUGAUAAGUCAAUCUCUUGACAAAUGAUCCAGGGGCAACUUCGAAUUCCUGUUUCUAUCUCUACCUCUCUGAUUACUUUAACAAGCACUUUCUGAUUGGACCUUGGUAAUUCCAGCAAGCCAAGACUUUCCAUGGGACUUCACCUUACCCUCUUAGAUUACUGGCAACCUCGCAUCCCCUGAAUUCCUGUUCAGGGAGAAGAGCAAGUCCUUCCUUCAGGGACUGGAGAAUGACAACCUUCACAGAACCCAGAGCUAGAGACUGAGGACUCAGAAUGUAGACUGGGAAUAAGAGAACUACAGCCAGGGGCCAAAUCCCUCCAGCCACAACAACAACAAAAAAAAAAAAAAAAAAA